CCAGCCUUGUUAGCUGACUUCUGGGUCAUGAAUCCUACCGCCCUCCCACGGUUAGCUACUCUGGCAAAAUCCAUUCCAUGGCACGGGCGGUACAAGACUCCGGGAACGUAUUCAAUCAAGACAUGUUGAUCCGCCGUGAUUACUAGCGAUCCCGACUACGCAGGUCGAGGUUGCAGACUGCGAUCUGACUGGGAUGACAGACCUCUGUCCCGACUCCUCAUUCAGACGCCCCAAUUUCCGUGGGUUAUGAGCCUGACGUCAUCCCAAUCUUCCUCUAGUCACGGGCGCCCCAGCCAGAGUGCUCUUUCUGUAGCAAUCCACGACAGGGUUGCCAGAUUUAACCCAACAUCUCACGAGCUGAGACAGCCAUGUACACCUGUCCCGGUUUUCGCACUCCUUAAAUCCGGAUUCCAGAGGGUAGGGUAGUAAAUUUUUGUUAUAUGUUGCAUCGAAUUAAUCCACAUCAUCCACCGCUUGCGUGGUCCCCCUGGAGUUUUGUCUUCAGGCGGCACUCACGCGUUGCUGCGCUAGCCAAGGCUGAAGGCUUCAACAGUUAGUUGACAAAUUUUGUGGAUUACCAGGGUAUUUAACUCUGUUUGCUUCACGUUGUGCAUGAGCGUCGGGCACUUCCAGGAGGCCAUCGGUGUCUCUCCGCAUCUACGCAUUACCGCUACACGCGGAAUUCCACCUCCUCUGACACAAUUUGCUCGGCAAGUUGUACGCAAAUGCCGGGAUUUCGCCUUUUUCUUUCGCGGGAGUCGCUUCGCGUCGCUUACGAUUGAUCGCCACCCCAUGAAGAAGCGGUUGCUGGCACGCGGGUUAGCCGGCGCUGCCCUGCAGGUAACAGUCAGCUGCACGAUAAUAAUUCCCGUGCAACUGAUUUGGUACCUGCAGAAUAAGCACCGGCUAACUACGUGCCAGCAGCCGCGGUAAUACGUAGGUGCAAGCGUUAAUCGGAAUUACUGGGCGUAAAGCGUGCGCAGGCGGUCCGGAAAGAAAGAUGUGAAAUCCUGUGAGCUUAACUUUGGAACUGCAUUUUUAACUACCGAGCUAGAGUGUGUCAGAGGGAGGUGGAAUUCCGCGUAGCAGUAAAUGCGUAGAUAUGCGGAGGAACACCGAUGGCGAAGGCAGCCUCCUGAUAACACUGACGCUCAUGCACGAAAGCGUGGGGAGCAAACAGGAUUAGAUACCCUGGUAGUCCACGCCCUAAACGAUGUCAACUAGCUUUCGUUGGGGCCUUCGGGCUCUGGUAGCGCAGCUAACGCGUGAAGUUGACCGCCCGGGGAGUACGGUCGCAAGAUUAAAACUCAAAGGAAUUGACGGGGACCGCACAAGCGGUGGAUGAUGUGGAUUAAUUCGAUGCAACGCGAAAACCUUACCUACCCUUGACAUGUCUGGAAUCCCGAAGAGAUUUGGGAGUGCCUGCAAGAGAACCGGAACACAGGUGCUGCAUGGCUGUCGUCAGCUCGUGUCGUGAGAUGUUGGGUUAAGUCCCGCAACGGAGGGCGCAACCCUUGUCAUUAGUUGCUACGAAAGGGCACCUAAUGAGACUGCCGGUGACAAACCGGGAGGAAGGUGGGGAUGACGUCAAGUCCUCAUGGCCCUUAUGGGAGACAGGGCUUCACACGUCAUACAAUGGUCGGGACAGAGGGUCGCCAACCCGCGAGGGGGAGCCAAUCCCAGAAACCCGAUCGGUCCGGAUCGCAGUCUGCAACCCGGGACUGCGUGAAGUCGGAAUCGCCAGUAAUCGCGGAUCAGCAUGUCGCGGUGAAUACGUUCCCGGGUCUUGUACACACCGCCCGUCACACCAUGGGAGUGGGUUUUACCAGAAGUAGUUAGCCUAACCGUAAGGAGGGCGAUUACCACGGUAGGAUUCAUGACUGGGGUGAAGUCGUAACAAGGUAA
rnacentral:misc_RNA from 1 species